rnacentral:misc_RNA from 1 species
GGUUUGUUACCGGUGGUUGGCUCUUUUCAACAACUCCCACCUGACAUCCCUAUUCAGUCGUCCGAUAAGGCUUCAACUGCCUGAAUGAAAUCUGGGUUUCUUGUGCUGCCUACCUAACAAUACGGUAUUGAUUUUGGCUUAUACAAGCUCUUUUCAUCUUUUGUCAUGCUUUUGAUAUCUGAUGAACCAAAAAGCUGCCUCUUUGAACCACAUCAUUUAUGCUUGUGUUGAUGUAGUGGAGCAUUGAGCCUUGCUUGGUCUCUUGAUGUAGUACUUUAUGUGGGCAUGGGUCUCACUGGAUCCUUGUUAUGUCCCUCUGUUUAGUUUUUAUGCUCCUUGAAAUGACUGCUUGAUACGCAUUGGCUCGUACCAGCGUGUCGGGUUUUGUCUAAAGAGGAAAGUUACCUGGU